rnacentral:sRNA from 1 species
ACAUUCCUCCGAGAGAUAGGGUGAAGAAGCCUGGACAGGGUUCAGUCGAGCGCGAAGCGCGAGACAACAACGGCUUGCCGUUGGCCCGAAGGGCAAGGGAGCGAAGCGACCGAGUAAAUCCCUAUCUCUCCGCCA